rnacentral:piRNA from 1 species
UAAACAAUCACUAUCCUACACUGCACAAU